rnacentral:rRNA from 1 species
UACGAAGGGGGGCUAGCGUUGCUCGGAAUUACUGGGCGUAAAGCGUGCGCAGGCGGCUUUGCAAGACAGAUGUGAAAUCCCCGGGCUCAACCUGGGAAUGGCGAUGAAGACUGCAAGGCUAGAAUCUGGCAGAGGGGGGUAGAAUUCCACGUGUAGCAGUGAAAUGCGUAGAGAUGUGGAGGAACACCGAUGGCGAAGGCAGCCCCCUGGGUCAAGAUUGACGCUCAUGCACGAAAGCGUGGGGAGCAAACAGG